rnacentral:rRNA from 1 species
UAACGCGUGAGUAACCUGCCUUUCAGAGGGGGAUAACGUUCUGAAAAGAACGCUAAUACCGCAUAAGAUUGUAGCUUCGCAUGGAGCAGCAAUCAAAGGAGCAAUCCGCUGAAAGAUGGACUCGCGUCCGAUUAGAUAGUUGGCGGGGUAACGGCCCACCAAGUCGACGAUCGGUAGCCGGACUGAGAGGUUGAUCGGCCACAUUGGGACUGAGACACGGCCCAGACUCCUACGGGAGGCAGCAGUGAGGGAUAUUGGGCAAUGGGGGAAACCCUGACCCAGCAACGCCGCGUGAGGGAUGACGGUUUUCGGAUUGUAAACCUCUGUCCUCUGUGAAGAUAGUGACGGUAGCAGAGGAGGAAGCUCCGGCUAACUACGUGCCAGCAGCCGCGGUAAUACGUAGGGAGCAAGCGUUGUCCGGAUUUACUGGGUGUAAAGGGUGCGUAGGCGGAUUGGCAAGUCAGAAGUGAAAUCCAUGGGCUUAACCCAUGAACUGCUUUUGAAACUGUUAGUCUUGAGUGAAGUAGAGGUAGGCGGAAUUCCCGGUGUAGCGGUGAAAUGCGUAGAGAUCGGGAGGAACACCAGUGGCGAAGGCGGCCUACUGGGCUUUAACUGACGCUGAGGCACGAAAGUGUGGGUAGCAAACAGGAUUAGAUACCCUGGUAGUCCACACUGUAAACGAUGAUUACUAGGUGU